GAAUGAAUGGCUGAGUGGUUUAAAGCAUCAAUUUUGAAAAUUGACAUAAGAAGUUAAACUUAUCGUAGGUUCGAAUCCUACUUCAUUCA
rnacentral:tRNA from 1 species